GCCCCGGUAGCUCAACGGAUAGAGCAGCGCCCUUCUAAGGCGAAGGCUGUAGGUUCGAUUCCUACCCGGGGCA
rnacentral:tRNA from 1 species